GUGAAUCAUCGAAUUUUUGAACGCAAAUUGCACUCCCUUCGGAGAGUAGGACUGUUUGAGGGUGAGCCUAAAAAAAAUCGACAUAGUUGGUGGUACGCGGUAAUGUUCGUCGGAAAUUGGGUCAUCUUUAAUAUUUGUGUUUAAGAGGCUUAAAAUUUUUUUUACGAUUCGAAGAAUGUUUCUAAGAUUUUAUUUUCUUAUAUGUUUAUGGUAUCGAUCUUUAUUAGAUGUGGCCGUUGCAUCGGAUCUC
rnacentral:misc_RNA from 1 species